CCUACGGGAGGCAGCAGUAGGGAAUCUUCCACAAUGGACGAAAGUCUGAUGGAGCAACGCCGCGUGAGCGAUGAAGGCCUUCGGGUCGUAAAGCUCUGUUGUUAGGGAAGAACAAGUACCGGAGUAACUGCCGGUACCUUGACGGUACCUAACCAGAAAGCCACGGCUAACUACGUGCCAGCAGCCGCGGUAAUACGUAGGUGGCAAGCGUUGUCCGGAAUUAUUGGGCGUAAAGCGCGCGCAGGCGGUCCUUAAGUCUGAUGUGAGAGCCCCCGGCUCAACCGGGGAGGGUCAUUGGAAACUGGGGAACUUGAGUGCAGAAGAGGAGAGCGGAAUUCCACGUGUAGCGGUGAAAUGCGUAGAGAUGUGGAGGAACACCAGUGGCGAAGGCGGCUCUCUGGUCUGUAACUGACGCUGAGGCGCGAAAGCGUGGGGAGCGAACAGGAUUAGAUACCCUGGUAGUCCACGCCGUAAACGAUGAGUGCUAAGUGUUAGAGGGUUUCCGCCCUUUAGUGCUGCAGCAAACGCAUUAAGCACUCCGCCUGGGGAGUACGGCCGCAAGGCUGAAACUCAAAGGAAUUGACGG
rnacentral:rRNA from 1 species